AUUGAACGCUGGCGGCAGGCCUAACACAUGCAAGUCGAGCGAGCGGCGCACGGGGGAGUAAUGUAUGGGGACUGCCCGAUAGAGGGGGGUAACUACUGGAAAAGGUAGCUAAUACCGCAUACUAUCGGAUAACCCAUAUGGGAUUAUCUAGUAGUUGGGGUAUUGGCUCACCUAGACGACGAUCCCUUGCUGGUCUGAGAGUAUGAUCAGCCACACUGGGACUGAGACACGGCCCAGACUCCUACGGAGGCAGCAGUGGGGAAUGUUGCACAAUGGGCGCAAGCCUGAUGCAGCCAUGCCGCGUGUAUGAAGAAGGCCCUAGGGUUGUAAAGUACUUUCAGUCGGGAGGCGUUACCGACAGAAGAAGCACCGGCUAACUCCGUGCCAGCAGCCGCGGUAAUUC
rnacentral:rRNA from 1 species